rnacentral:rRNA from 1 species
GAUGAACGCUGGCGGCGUGCCUAAUACAUGCAAGUCGAGCGAAUGGAUUAAGAGCUUGCUCUUAUGAAGUUAGCGGCGGACGGGUGAGUAACACGUGGGUAACCUGCCCAUAAGACUGGGAUAACUCCGGGAAACCGGGGCUAAUACCGGAUAACAUUUUGAACCGCAUGGUUCGAAAUUGAAAGGCGGCUUCGGCUGUCACUUAUGGAUGGACCCGCGUCGCAUUAGCUAGUUGGUGAGGUAACGGCUCACCAAGGCAACGAUGCGUAGCCGACCUGAGAGGGUGAUCGGCCACACUGGGACUGAGGCACGGCCCAGACUCCUACGGGAGGCAGCAGUAGGGAAUCUUCCGCAAUGGACGAAAGUCUGACGGAGCAACGCCGCGUGAGUGAUGAAGGCUUUCGGGUCGUAAAACUCUGUUGUUAGGGAAGAACAAGUGCUAGUUGAAUAAGCUGGCACCUUGACGGUACCUAACCAGAAAGCCACGGCUAACUACGUGCCAGCCGCCGCAGUAAGAC